rnacentral:lncRNA from 1 species
UGGGGUGGGAGGAAUUUAUUUCCAACAGAACCAGAGCAGGAGAAAAAGAGCCCAAAAUCCAACUUUGCCCUCCCCCAAUUCCCGGCGUUCCCUCGGUCCCUCCGGACAUUCAGGGGAGUUUUCCGUGAUUUCUCAACUUUGGGAAGAGUUUUCCAUGGAUUUCUUGGCUAUGGGAAAGAAUUUUCCAAGGAUUUCUCAAUUAUGGGAAGAGUUUUCCAUGGAUUUCUCCAAGAUGAUUCCAUCUCACAGUGAGUUUUCCAUGGAUUUCUCAGCUAUGGGAAGAGUUUUCCAUGGAUUUCUUGGUUAUGGGAAGAGUUUUUCAUGGAUUUCUCAAUUAUGGGAAGAAUUUUCCACGGAUUUCUCAGCUAUGGAAUUUUCCAUGGAUUUCUUGGCUAUGGAAUUUUCCAUGGAUUUCUCCAAGAUGAUUCCAUCUCACAGUGAGCUUUCCAUGGAUUUCUCAACUUUGGGAAGAGUUUUCCAUGGAUUUCUCCAAGGUGAAUCUGUUCCCACAGCGAGUUUUCCAUGGGUUUCUCAGCUAUGGAAUAUUCCACGGAUUUCUUGGUUAUAG